rnacentral:rRNA from 1 species
UACGUAGGAGGCAAGCGUUGUCCGGAAUCACUGGGCGUAAAGCGCGUGUAGGUGGUACGACAAGUCUGCUGUGAAAGCGCCUGGCUUAACCGGGCGAGGUCGGCGGAAACGGUCGCACUUGAGGACGGUAGAGGGGGGUGGAAUUCCCGGUGUAGUGGUGAAAUGCGUAGAGAUCGGGAGGAACACCUGUGGCGAAGGCGGCCCCCUGGGCCGGCCCUGACACUGAGACGCGAAGGCGUGGGGAGCGAACGGG